AUACGUAGGGGGCGAGCGUUGUCCGGAAUGAUUGGGCGUAAAGGGCGCGUAGGCGGCCCGGUAAGUCUGGAGUGAAAGUCCUGCUUUUAAGGUGGGAAUUGCUUUGGAUACUGUCGGGCUUGAGUGCAGGAGAGGUAAGUGGAAUUCCCAGUGUAGCGGUGAAAUGCGUAGAGAUUGGGAGGAACACCAGUGGCGAAGGCGACUUACUGGACCGUAACUGACGCUGAGGCGCGAAAGUGUGGGGAGCAAACAGGAUUAGAUACCCUGGUAGUCCACACUGUAAACGAUGAAUGCUAGGUGUAGGGGGUAUCGACCCCUUCUGUGCCGCAGUUAACACAAUAAGCAUUCCGCCUGGGGAGUACGGCCGCAAGGUUGAAACUCAAAUGAAUUGACGGGG
rnacentral:rRNA from 1 species